rnacentral:rRNA from 1 species
UACAGAGGGUGCAAGCGUUAAUCGGAGUUACUGGGCGUAAAGGGCGCGUAGGCGGAUAUUUAAGUCGGAUGUGAAAUCCCUGGGCUCAACCUAGGAAUUGCAUUCGAUACUGGAUGUCUAGAGUAUGGUAGAGGAAAGUGGAAUUCCCGGUGUAGCGGUGAAAUGCGUAGAUAUCGGGAAGAACAUCAAGGCGAAGGCAGCUUUCUGGACCAAUACUGACGCUGAGGCGCGAAAGCGUGGGGAGCAAACAGG